UACGUAGGGAGCAAGCGUUGUCCGGAAUCAUUGGGCGUAAAGCGCGCGUAGGUGGCUCUAUAAGUCCGUUGUGAAAGUCAAAGGCUCAACCUUUGAAAGCCGAUGGAUACUGUAGAGCUAGAGUCCGGAAGAGGCGAGUCGGAAUUCCUGGUGUAGCGGUAGAAAUGCGCAGAUAUCAGGAAGAACACCUAUGGCGAAGGCAGCACCUCUGGGACGGUACUGACGCUGAGACGCGAAGCGUGGGGAGCAAACAGG
rnacentral:rRNA from 1 species